CUUGCUUCCUUUCUCUGUGGGACGUUCAGUUCUUCAAGUGAAUAAGGACACAAAACCUAAUAUCUUACAGGAAAAAUGAAACACCUUCAAAAUGUACAUACCUUUAUUCUCGUGUUGGCUUGCCUCUCAAUAAUUGGACUUAUUUAUUUUGGCUACACCUCCAACUCCAUCUCAACCAGAAAUAAAGAGGAAAGAUCCUGCUUUAAACCCCAAAAAGAGCACCAGUUGCAAUCACCACAUGGGUGAGUGAGUACAAAACUUCCUUCAACAGUUUUGCUGUUUAUUGUGACUAGUGUAUACUGGACCAGUUGGAACAGUGAGAGAAAAAAAAGGCAAGGCAAACACAAUCACGUCAAAACAAAGAAUGAUAAAACAGUAAUCAAUAUGAAGAAUUUGAUACCGCAACAGAUUGAAUUCACUUCAAGGUCUACAAUACUUUUCAGUUUAUGUAAUAAAGUUCAGUUUUUGUGUAUUAAAGUUCAGUUUCUUUUUUGUAAAGCUCAGUUCAUUUUGAUCGUGAGUAAUGUACAAAAAUAAAAAUAAAAUAAAUAAAAAUGUCGGAUCCAAUCUAGUUCAGGGAAAACUGGGAAAAGUCUUAAGUCUAAGUUCAUCUUAGUUCUCUUUUCAUGCACGUCUUCUCCACAC